rnacentral:rRNA from 1 species
AGGACGAACGCUGGCGGCGUGCUUAACACAUGCAAGUCGAACGAUGAAGCCUUUCGGGGUGGAUUAGUGGCGAACGGGUGAGUAACACGUGGGCAAUCUGCCCUUCACUCUGGGACAAGCCCUGGAAAACGGGGUCUAAUACCGGAUAACACUCUGUCCCGCAUGGGACGGGGUUAAAAGCUCCGGCGGUGAAGGAUGAGCCCGCGGCCUAUCAGCUUGUUGGUGGGGUAAUGGCCUACCAAGGCGACGACGGGUA